GGGGAAUAUUGCACAAUGGGCGCAAGCCUGAUGCAGCAACGCCGCGUGAGGGAUGACGGCCUUCGGGUUGUAAACCUCUUUUAGUAGGGAAGAAGCGCAAGUGACGGUACCUGCAGAAAAAGCACCGGCUAACUACGUGCCAGCAGCCGCGGUAAUACGUAGGGUGCAAGCGUUGUCCGGAAUUAUUGGGCGUAAAGAGCUCGUAGGCGGCUUGUCGCGUCUGCUGUGAAAACCCGAGGCUCAACCUCGGGCUUGCAGUGGGUACGGGCAGGCUAGAGUGCGGUAGGGGAGAUUGGAAUUCCUGGUGUAGCGGUGGAAUGCGCAGAUAUCAGGAGGAACACCGAUGGCGAAGGCAGAUCUCUGGGCCGUAACUGACGCUGAGGAGCGAAAGCAUGGGGAGCGAAC
rnacentral:rRNA from 1 species